rnacentral:rRNA from 1 species
AGGAUGCAAGCGUUAUCCGGAAUGAUUGGGCGUAAAGCGUCUGUAGGUGGCUUGGUAAGUCUGCUGUGAAAGCCCCGGGCUUAACCCUGGACAGGCAGUGGAAACUACCGAGCUUGAGUACGGUAGGGGCAGAGGGAAUUCCCGGUGAAGCGGUGAAAUGCGUAGAGAUCGGGAAGAACAUCGGUGGCGAAAGCGCUCUACUGGGCCAUAACUGACACUGAGGGACGAAAGCUAGGGGAGCGAAAGG